rnacentral:rRNA from 1 species
AUGCGCCGCAAGAAGCACUUGGACCGCGCUGGCGGCGGCGGCGGCGGCACCGAGCUCUUCAUCUGCUUCACCUCCCGCCCCUCCGCCUCAGGGCUGCGACCCUCCUCAUCCUCCAAGCCAUUCAGCCCCGGCCGCGGCGGAGCCGGCCCCGCAGCAGGAGGAGGGAACGGCUCUGGUGGUGCUGGUGCUGCCGACGCGGCGCCGGCCGCGCUGCUGCGCCCGUCGCUGAGCAGGCGGCUGAGGAACAGCGGGAGCCUCAAGGGCGGCCAGUCGCCCAUGUUCCCGCCGGGGACGGCGUCGGGGGGCCGGCGCGGGCGGGGCGGGAUGGAGCCCGCCGAGCCCUCCUCGCCCAAGGUCACCUGCAUCGGCCAGGUCCGGGUCAAGGGCGGCAAGCGCAAGCCCAAGCACGCCUCCUCCUCCGCCGCCGCGCUGCGCUCGCGCUCCAGGCGCGGCGUCGGCGGCGGCCUGUCCGGGUCCGAGGCCAGCUUCCGCCGCGGGGCGGACGACCGGGACGGCGCCGGCGGCCUCCACCCCGGGGCCAAGAACCAGGGCUGGGUCUACCAGAUCCCGGUCAACAUCUGCGAGGCGCUCAAGACCUUCGGCUCCUGCGGCGGCCGCUCCCUCUGCUCGCCGUCCCGGGACCGUGGGGGCGCGCCGCGGUCCGGUGCCGCGGGAGACAAGAAGCGCCGCCGCGCCCCGGCCGGCGGGAGCUGGCUCUGCGGCGCCGCCGUGGCCCGGUGCCUCCUGGCGAUCCAGGAGGAGGAGGACGACGUCGGGAAGGGCUCCGCCGUCGGGCCCGCGGACGAGGCCCGGGAGUCGCAGGUGGGGCUCGUGAUGCAGGGCUGGGACGUGGAGGACGACGAAGAAGAGGAGGAGGACGAGACCCGCGUCGUCGUCGGCGCGGUGGAGGUGGAGAAGGAAGAUGAGAUCUUGCUGGUUGGAGGCAAGGAGGAGGAGGGGAGGGUCAGCGUCUGCAUCCCGCCUAGGAACGCUCUCCUGCUGAUGCGCUGCAGAUCCGACCCCGUGCGCAUGGCGGAGCUCGCCACGCGCUUCUGGGGUUCCCCUGCGGCGGCCACUGCCAGUGUCGGCCAGGUCGACAAUGAAGGGGGCGGCGGCGGCGUCGAGAAAGAAGAGGAGGAAGAAGGCGAGGCCAAUGUGGAGAAGGAAUGUGCAGUGGAAGCUCGGAAUUCAGCUGUUUCCGCCGACGGUGAGGUAUGCCGCGAGCGCGGCGGCUUUGAAGACGACGGCGGCGAGGCAGGGGAUGCCGGUCAAGUGGUGUCUGAAGAUGAGAGCUCCAAGCAUGGAGAUAUUGGGGAAGAAGCGAAUGAUGGAGGCUGCAGAGGAGAUGCAGAGGAGAAGGACGAGCCUGUGGAGGCUCAGAUUGUUCGCAAGGACGUAGGCUUGGAGGUUGAAGCUGCCAAGAGUGAGAGCCAAGCACCGGCAAUGGUGGAGGCUGUGGCAGACACCAAGGAGGAUGCUGAUGCCCCAAGAAUGGAGGACGAGGUGAAGGGCAGGAGGUCAGUCAGCAGCUGCUCCCCAUCCACAGCACUGAAGGAGGACCGCAAAUUGCGGCGGUUGGGCAGCACCAGGAGGCGUGUUUCUACGAGCAGCAAGGCCUCCUCGAGCAGUGAUCGUGUCGACAGGCGGCACAGCUUCUCGGCCGAAAUGGAGGCGCGGCGGUCGAGCUUCUCGAGCUUGAAGUAUUCGAGGAGGGCAAGCUUCUCCAUCGACAGGGAUGGCCGGAGGUGGAGCUUCACCAUUGAGCAGGAGCACCUCGUCGCGGAGCCUAAGGUUUUGAUGGCAUCCAGGAAGGGGAAGAAAAAUUCGUCCGAGGCCGAGUCGGAGAAGGACUGCCCUGUUCUUGUUGCUGCACCAAACAGCGUGGAGGAAGCCCAAGAGUGCACUGAGGAUGGAAAGGAAGAGGCCACAAAUGUUGAUGGUGAGGAAGAAGGAGCAACAACACAAUGUGCUGAAAUUCACACAGAAGUUCAGAAGGUUGAGACCGGAGUCGAUGAGGAAAAAUGUGUUGUGGUGAAGCAGGAACAGAGGAAGAAGAGCGGCGAGCUGCCGGAUUGCCUCCUUAUGAUGAUGUGCGAGCCCAAGCUCUCCAUGGAGGUCUCCAAGGAGACAUGGGUGUGCAGCACCGAUUUCGUCCACUGGAAGUCUCACCAGGGCCAGAAUCGUCGCCAACAAAAUGCUGCUGCUGCCCCGGAGGAGAUGAAGGAUGAUUCAAGCAAUGCUCCGGACACCAGCGUCGCAAAGGAUACAGAAGAGAGCGCUGUAGUGCCAGCACCGGCGAACCCCGCGUGUAUGCCACCGCAGGCUGCCCCGAAGCCACCAACGAAGCCAGCAGGGGAGCAAAAGCUCAAGCUAGAGCUGCCAAAGGUCGCCGCCGGCGUGGUGGCGGCGUACGCGCCGCUCGUCCUGAAGCGCUGCAAGUCGGAGCCUUUGCGGUCGUCUGCUCGGCUGGCGCCCGACACGUGCUUCUGGAAGGAGGACCGGCACCGGCCCCUCAACGCCACCGGGAUCGGCUUCUGA